ACUGUGACCAAGUUUCUUUAUUUGUAAAAUGAGUUAGAGAAGGAGAUGAUAGGGCACUCCAGCGACUUUGCCAAGAAAACCCCAAAUGGGUCCCCACUGAAAUGAAUGAUGACCAUGUUACUUGUUUUGGUCUCCCACUGAUCUUCACAUACACACUCUUCCUGGGUCUCCCCUGCUUUUCACUGGUUCCUAGAAUUCCUUAAAUGAACACACCAUGCUUAAUAUACAUCCUUCUUGUCCCUAUUUUUUUUUAAUGGAAAAGGCAACUUUUCUUAAAUGGAGGCUAAAAGUGGCCAAUAACUGCUCCUGCCUGGAACAGUGUUGCCUCAAUAUUCUUUGUCUUAGAAGCUCUUGUUGAUCACUUGCUGUUGGAGGUGAAGGAAAUUUUCAACAUCCAAGUACUAUAUGAGGAUAUGGUGGAGAUGAGACACUACUAGGAAAAAGAGAAGAAGAACAAGCGUCAUUAAGCAGAGGCCUUUUUUUUCCCAUUUACAUUAUCUUCAGAAGAAUGGAACAGCCUUGUUGACAAGGCUAAACUUUGCCAACUCCUUCAGUGGAUCAGCAUCAUCUAUAGUUCCAACAUCUUCCUAUUCUUCUUUUACUGGAUAUGGUCCAACUUCUCUAAUUCUUUGCUCCAAUGUGAUGCUUAAAUUGAAAAUAAUACUUUAUGCAUGUGUUUGAGGACUUUUUCCUAAGGCCUCAGGAAUAUCAAGAGAUAUAGCUAACUUUUCCCUUCUUUUCCAUUGUUUCUAAUGGUUUCUAAAAGCUUCUCAGAAGUUGGAAGAAAAUGUGAAUGUUUGGAUAUGGGUUAAAGGAGGACAACGAGGAAUUGGAAGGAGAGAGAAGUUUUUUGCCAUAUUCUGUGGUGAAUCUUGGCCUCUGAGACAGCAACAUCAGUGAAGAAAACAGGCAGCCUUUUGGGUCAGCUGGGAGCUAUGUGGUCACAUUGAACCCCAAGCAUGCUUACACAAAAAAAUCACUCCCUUUGGAAUUUAUCUUUGAAAGAACAGGCUGUGAAUGGUGGCAGAUACAUUUGGCACCUUACAGGUCAGACUCUCCAUAUAACCACCUCCACCAACCCCACAGAAACUGUCGGGGAGACCAAGACUCAAGGUAGCAACACUAGGCCUUAGUCUGAAGAAACUGAACCUGCCUAAUAAUACUGAGCCUGAAUGUGCGUCAUCCUCUGCACUAGUACUAAAAUACUCAGCACCUGAGAUCUCUCUUCAUUCCACAAUAGCUAUUUCAAUGAGGGUCUUCAUAGAGAGAGAUGCAGCCAUCCUCUUAGUUCUGAUUUCAGAGCUAGAGGAAUUUCAAAGAUCAUUAAAUCCAAUAUCUUCCUUUUUAUCCAAAAGAAAAUUGAGAUUCAGAGAGGACAAGUGAUUGGUAAAUGUGGCACUCAACUUGCCAGACCAAGGAUAUAACUAGUAAAUAAUUGACAUAAAGAACCACAAAUCUGUAUCCUCUGAUUCCUAAUUGAUCAGUCAACAACCCUUCUUAAGCAAAAUGUGAUAGAUCCAGUGGCUACUGGGGAUACAAGGCAAAAAAAAGAAAAAAAGAAAAUGCAGUGCCUGCCAUCAAGGAACUUUCAUUAUGGAAAUGACAUUUCUGUCUAAUUUCUAUAUAUUCUAUAUACAUAUAUGUGUGCUUAUAUUUAUACAUGUCUAUAUAUACAUGUCUCUAUAUAUGUCUAUACCCUUUCUGUAUACUUUCUAUAUCACUAUAUCUAUUUUCUAAUCAUUUUCUCUAUGUUUUGUAUGUAUAGACAAAAUAUUUCAAAAAUAGAUAGACAUUUACUAGACAGUGACUAAGUGUUCACAUAUGAGAGUAUAUGCAUAUCCAAAGUAUGUAGUAAGUGGAAGAUUAUUUGCAAGUUUAGUGAAAUGAAACUUUGGAAAUAUAAGGAGUGCUCCUCAUAGAUCAGUGAUGUGUCGUGAAUCAGGAAAGGGAGUUCAAUCAAAGUUAAAACCUAAGGGUAUAUUAGCUAGCCAAUAAAAACAUGGUUUCUGUUUUUAAAAAAAGGGGUAUUUGUAAGAAAAAAAGAAUUUCCUCUUAGGCAGUCCUGAGUAAAGGAGUUGGUAGACAAUAGGGAAGGCUUUGUAUGGCCAAGGGUUUGUUGUUAUUUUUUUUCUCUUUGACUUUUCUAAAACAGCUGGAGAAAGCCUGUAUAGUCUUUCAGCCAAAAAAGAUUGACAAUAUUUACUUUUCUUUAAAAAGAAUUAACUAAGGAUUUCAGCUGAGGCAAAAUUGGGUGCAUUGGGAACUUCUAUGGGGAAGCAAUAUCUGGCACUGGAAAUUAUGAGAUCAUCAGAACAGUGUCAGGCAGCAGAGACAAGUCCAGCAGAGAUUAGGAAACUAGCAAUUCCAAAAGUAACAGCACCUGUCCCCAGCAUCUUUCCUCUAUAACUAUGUGUGUUGGUAAGAGAAUGCAUGCAGGCUUACAGGGAACAUGUUUUGUUACUAUGUUGGAUUUUUGUAUUUUUGCUAUGCCAUUUCAUUAAAUGCCUUUGCUGUGAAUUAAAAAUGUCCUCUAAAGAGCCAGUAAAGCAGUAAACACAUGGCAGUGAUGCUGGGGAUAUGAUCCUAGAGAGGUAGACCCUUAGAAUAAGUGGCAUUAGCCACAUCUGAGGUUUAAUCCUGUUUUAGACAUUCAUUAGCUAGUUAACCCUGCACAAAUCACUUACCUUAUGCCUUAGUUUCCUCAACUAUAAAAUGGGGAUAAUAGCAAAUGAUUUCAUUGUGGGAACCAAUGAAAUAAUCCAUGUAAAGUGCUUUGCAAACCUUAAAGCCCCACAUAAAUGUUAUUAUUACUAUUGGGGGGGGGGUCAAGGUUCACCUUCUGAGCUGGAGGUGGGGUGUGACUAGGUGCUACAGAUGAAUGUGUAUAAUAUUUGCAUAUAACAUCACUUAUGAUAUAUAUAUAUAUAUAUGCCACAUAUUAAUCUGAAUGCCUCACAAAUAUGUCAGGUACUACAAAGAUGCAAAUCACAACUUAUUUAUUCCUAUGCAUCCUAUGUAACUUUUAGACCAGUCAUCCUAUAAAUUCCAAAAAAGGAAUUUAACAUGCUCAUGAGUUUUCUUGGUUUUCUUGACAUUUUGUGCAUUAUAUACUUCAGGUAUUAUUAGUCACUUUCCUGUCUUAUCUUCUGGUUAGACAUCUCUCCAGUAUCCUACUUUAUCCUAUCUGAUGUCUCCCUCCAGAGUAAUUUUUCAUUGAUGAUUGUUACUGCCUGCUUGAGCCCACCUGGAAUCUUUUCAUUGCCUUUGGGAUGACACUCAACUUCAGCUUUUGGAGAACCUGGUAUUCCAUGACUGUGGCCUAAAUUGAGGUUAAGUAACUUGCCCAG